rnacentral:rRNA from 1 species
GACGAAGGGGGCUAGCGUUGUUCGGAAUUACUGGGCGUAAAGCGCGUGUAGGCGGUUGCCCAAGUCGGGUGUGAAAGCCUUGAGCUCAACUCAAGAAAUGCACUCGGUACUGGGUGACUAGAGGACCGGAGAGGACAGUGGAAUUCCCAGUGUAGUGGUGAAAUACGUAGAGAUUGGGAAGAACACCAGUGGCGAAGGCGGCUAUCUGGACGGUUUCUGACGCUAAGACGCGAAAGCGUGGGGAGCAAACGGG